rnacentral:lncRNA from 1 species
UCCCAUCCCGUGCGCGAGCCCACCCAGACGCCCCCGAGCCCCUUCUUCUUCCUGCUCGUGUUCUUCUCCGUUCUUCUCUGUUUUUCCUUUUCUCCUCAAAUGCUCCCAUUUUCUAGCCCAAAUUAGUGCAUCUUGAUCCCAUUUAACCCACAAAAUCGCAUCCCCUACCUAGUUGGCACCCAAAGACACCUCGAUCUACUGUUUUCAUAGGCCAUGUAG